GAGUUUGAUCCUGGCUCAGGACGAACGCUGGCGGCGUGCUUAACACAUGCAAGUCGAACGGGAUCAUCGCUUUCGGGUGGUGGUUUAGUGGCGAACGGGUGAGUAACACGUGGGUAAUCUGCCUCAUACUCUGGGAUAAGCCUGGGAAACUGGGUCUAAUACCGGAUAGGACCUUUCACCGCAUGGUGGGGGGUGGAAAGCUUUGGCGGUGUGAGAUGGGCCCGCGGCCUAUCAGCUUGUUGGUGGGGUGUUGGCCUACCAAGGCGACGACGGGUAGCCGGCCUGAGAGGGCGACCGGCCACACUGGGACUGAGACACGGCCCAGACUCCUACGGGAGGCAGCAGUGGGGAAUAUUGCACAAUGGGCGCAAGCCUGAUGCAGCGACGCCGCGUGAGGGAUGACGGCCUCGG
rnacentral:rRNA from 1 species